ACCCUGUAAAGAGAGCUAACUCUUUAGACUGAGGAACCUGGCUCCAUUUCAGACCACAGAGCUGAGUCUUCUGUGAUCCCAAUAAGGAAGAAGAAUGGAGAAACUCCUGGAAGUGUCUUUGGUGAUUCUAUGGCUUCAACUGGCCAGGGUGAACAGCCAACAAGGAGAACAGAAUCUUCAGACCCUGAGUAUCCAGGAGGGUGAAAAUGUCACCAUGAACUGCAGUUAUAAAACUACUAUAACCAACUUACGGUGGUAUAGACAAGAUGCAGGUAGAGGCCUUGCACAACUGAUUUUAAUACGUUCAAAUGAAAGAGAGAAACCUGGUGGAAGACUACAAGUCACGCUUGACACCUCCAGCAAAAGCAGCUCCCUGUCCAUCACGGCUUCCCGGGCUGCCGACUCUGCUGCUUACUUCUGUGCUGUGGAGGCACAGUGUUCACCAGGCACCUGCAGCCCCUACAAGAACUCUGAGGAGCCACCUCUUAGGAGCCCCAACAGUGGGUAUACUUGGGUUAUGUCUUCCCAUGAAUGAGAGUCUACAAAUAGCUGGAAACAUGAAAGGAAGGCCCUCUCAAAUUUGUGUUUCUUUGGGAGCACCUUGGACUAGGGCAAAGGGCAUGAGAUUCAGAAUGGGAAACUGAAAUGCCAGGUUCACUUCUGCCAAUCCUGGCUAUGUGGCCUCAGGAAGAUCAUCAGCAUAGCUGCCUUUGACUUCCUUACUUGAACGGAAGGAUUUGGACUGAUAAGCCCAAAAGACCCUUGAAGCUCUAAUUUUAUUAGGAGAAAAAGUAGGCUCUGGACAUUUGAGCAGGAUGAGGAAGGAGAUCUUAGGGUUAGAGGAUGUGUAUCCCUCUCAAGACUGCAGUGCAGGAGCCGGUCCCAUGGCGGAGUGGUUAAGUUCGCACGCUCUGGUUUGGUGGAACCCUGCUGGUUCGAAUCCUGGG